GAACUUCAGCUACAAAUGGACCUAAUUUUACACACUACCAAUCUUUGAACUACACAAGUCUCCACCAAAAAAAUUACCAAAACUUAUUUCAAGAUAAAAGAAUAGUGAAAUCUUAUAUCAACGUCAACGUCAAGAUCAUCGGAGGAGAGCUCGUAGCAGGUAUCGUUAACUACUGUAAAUCGGAUGCUGUCAUCUUAACCAGCAACUCU
rnacentral:misc_RNA from 1 species